rnacentral:rRNA from 1 species
AUGAACGCUAGCUACAGGCUUAACACAUUCAAGUCGAGGGGAAACGACAUCGAAAGCUUGCUUUUGAUGGGCGUCGACCGGCGCACGGGUGAGUAACGCGUAUCCAACCUGCCCACCACUUGGGGAUAACCUUGCGAAAGUAAGACUAAUACCCAAUGACGUCUCUAGAAGACAUCUGAAAGAGAUUAAAGAUUUAUCGGUGAUGGAUGGGGAUGCGUCUGAUUAGCUUGUUGGCGGGGUAACGGCCCACCAAGGCGACGAUCAGUAGGGGUUCUGAGAGGAAGGUCCCCCACAUUGGAACUGAGACACGGUCCAAACUCCUACGGGAGGCAGCAGUGAGGAAUAUUGGUCAAUGGACGAGAGUCUGAACCAGCCAAGUAGCGUGCAGGAUGACGGCCCUAUGGGUUGUAAACUGCUUUUAUAAGGGAAUAAAGUGAGUCUCGUGAGACUUUUUGCAUGUACCUUAUGAAUAAGGACCGGCUAAUUCCGUG